GGAAGUGGCGGUCGGGCUCUUACGUCACUGGCUGCGCCGAGUUGGCGGUUGCCGUACAGUUGCUGGGAGGAGGCGGGAGGUGGAGCCGCUAGGGCCAAGAUCAUGCCAGAUAGCCAGAGGUAUUCUGGGCAGCAGAGGCCGCUAGGCUUGGGAUGAAAGAAGCAGGGCAGAUGCAAAAUCUGGAGAGCGCGGGGGCCGGGCGGUCAGUCAGCACCCAGACUGGCAGCAUGACUGGUCAAAUACCAAGGCUUUCUAAAGUCAACCUUUUCACUCUGCUCAGUCUCUGGAUGGAGCUCUUCCCAGCAGUGAAAGCCCAAAGACAAAAAUCUCAGGAAAAGGAAGAGGGAAAGCAUGGACCCUUAGGAGAUAAUGAAGAGAUGGCCAGGAUAUCUACUGACAAAAAACAGGUGAAGAGAACUGGUCUUGUGGUGGUGAAAAACACGAAAAUUGUUGGUCUCCACUGUUCUAGUGAAGAUUUACAUGCUGGAAAAAUUGCUCUUAUAAAACAUGGGUCAAGGCUGAAAAACUGUGAUCUUUAUUUUUCCAGAAAACCCUGUUCUGCUUGUUUGAAAAUGAUUGUAAAUGCUGGAGUUAACCGAAUUUCAUACUGGCCUGCUGAUCCAGAAAUAAGUUUGCUUACUGAGGAUUCUAGUUCUGAAGAUGCCAAGUUAGAUGCCAAAGCGGUGGAAAGAUUGAAGUCAAACAGUCGGGCCCAUGUGUGUGUCUUACUUCAGCCUUUGGUGUGUUAUAUGGUGCAGUUUGUAGAGGAGACCUCUUACAAAUGUGACUUUAUUCAAAAAAUUGCAAAAACAUUGCCGGAUGCUAACAUUGACUUUUAUUCUGAAUGUAAACAAGAAAGAAUAAAAGAAUAUGAAAUGUUAUUUUUGGUUUCAAAUGAAGAAAUGCAUAAGCAAAUACUGAUGACUAUAGGCUUGGAGAACCUAUGUGAAAAUCCAUACUUUAGCAAUCUAAGACAAAAUAUGAAAGACCUUAUCCUACUCUUGGCCACAGUAGCUUCCAGUGUGCCCAACUUUAAGCACUACGGAUUUUAUUGUGGUAAUCCCGAACAGAUUAAUGAAAUUCACAAUCAAAGUUUGCCACAAGAAAUUGCAAGGCACUGCAUGGUUCAGGCCAGGUUAUUGGCAUAUCGAACUGAGGAUCAUAAAACUGGAGUUGGAGCAGUCAUCUGGGCAGAAGGAAAAUCUAGAAGUUGUGAUGGAACAGGCGCGAUGUACUUCAUAGGAUGCGGUUAUAAUGCUUUUCCUGUUGGAUCCGAGUAUGCUGACUUCCCACACAUGGAUGACAAACAGAAAGACAGAGAAAUAAGGAAAUUCAGAUACAUUGUACAUGCGGAGCAGAAUGCCUUGACAUUUAGGUGUCAAGAAAUAAAACCGGAAGAAAGAAGUAUGAUUUUUGUCACAAAGUGCCCAUGUGAUGAGUGUGUGCCUUUAAUUAAAGGAGCAGGCAUAAACCAGAUCUAUGCCGGAGAUGUAGAUGUUGGAAAAAAGAAGGCAGACAUCUCUUACAUGAGAUUUGGGGAACUUGAGGGUGUUAGCAAAUUUACAUGGCAGCUGAAUCCAUCAGGAACAUGUGUUGGUGAACAGAAUGAGCCUGAAAGCAAGGAGAAUGGUGUGUUGAGACCCUUACCUCUGGGUGAAGAACAGCACCAAAACAAAAAGCUGUGUCUUGGAAACCACUAAGAAAUCCUGUCUAAACUGGAGUGAGGCCUCAAGACUUUGUAUUUGCACUUUUAAAAUUCAGCCUUGUUAACUCAGAAAAUAAGGGUGGAUUUUGUGAAUAACUGAGAAAAAUUACAGUUACUGUUUCACUCGGAUGGUUUUAUAAAAGUUUUCCUGCAAAAGUGCUUCAUCUUCAAGGAAAUUCAUGAAUGGACUCUAACAAGUACUGUAGGAUACAGGUUUCUGAUAACUUUCAGAGCAUCCAGCUGACCUGGGUAAGAAUUUCCAGAACUAAAAGAAAAACUGGAUUCAAACAGAGUAAAUAUUAAUUACAUGGGAUUGAAAGAACUUGGGACUGAAUGACCUGAGGAAGAUGAUCGUAAUUGUUUAUGACUUUUUUGUUUGGUCGUUGUUGUUUUGUUUUGUUUUGUUUUUAGCAUUUGGUUUUUCCAGAUUUCAGGAAAACUUCUCUUUUCUCUUAAAUUACCUAUGAUUUAUACCAAUUUGUUUAAUUAUUCCUUUAUAAGCAGAAUUGAAACAAUUACUUUUUCUCCCCACCUCAUGCCUCCCUCAUUUAAAAACUGUUAGUAUUCUUAUUUUUAUGGAAAUACAGUUAUUUGCAUAAGUUCAUUAAGAAUCUUUUUUUUUUUUAAGAUUUCUUUAUUUGACAGAGAGAGAUCACAAGUAGGCAAAGACCCAGGCAGAGAGAGAGAGAGAGAGAGAGAGGAGGAAGCAGGCUCCCUGCUGAGUAGAGAGCCCGAUGCAGGACUUGAUCCCAGGACCCUGAGAUCAUGACGUGAGCCAAAGGCAGAGACUUAUUAACCCACUGAGCCACCCAGGCACCUCAGAAUCUAUUCUUUUAAUGAGGAUAUGUGGAAACAUUGGUUACGUUACUAAGGCUUUGACUGGAAAGUCAUAUAUGAGAGAUACACAUAGACUCAGAUAUGACCAGACAACUUUAAGAAACUCAGAUUGACUUUAUAAAGCUGAUAAACAAUAAAGCCCCUUGGAGAAAAAGGUCUAGUACGUUGCUUACAUCUAGCAGCUUAUUUGGUGAGUGAAGAAGCACUUCCUGGCAGGCUCAGGAACCCCAAGAUGAUUUGGGGACCUUGAGAAAAGAGGAAUUCACCCAGAUUUAUAGGUGUGGCAGGUGAAGUCUAAUGGCAAGUCCUGGACUUGGCUUCCUAGUCUUGAGAGGCUUUUAAUAGUUCCAUCUGAAAAAAAAAAAAGUUCUUUCUGAGAUUCCUUUUGAAAAAUUCCACCAAAGCAGAUUUAGAAGAGUCUAUCUCAUCAAUUGUUAUUCUUGCUAUACUUAUGUAAAUUGGCCAAAUGUAUUGAAAUUAGAUUUAAUUUGCAAACGAAUUAGUCUUACUGUGAUUAUCUUUGAUAGAAAAAUUAUGUUUCAGUGAUACACUAUGUAAAUAUCAGAUUCUAGUGCUGUUAAUUAGUUUGAGGUUUUGUUUCCCACUUGUAAGAUGGAAAGAUCCACUGGAUCCUGAAUUCUGGUCUCCUCUGAUACUCGGCGAUAGCUGUCCAAACUAGCCUUUCCAGUUUCCUCCCACUUUUGACUUGGAAUGGUGAAGAGCAGAAACUGCCCUUUUCCCCAAAGCCUGGCAAACUGCAGGUGAACAACUUGAUAUAAACUUCAGAGAAAUGGCCACAGUAACUCAUGUUUAGACAGUCUUCAUGCCUGCUGCUGUGUGUGCCACUCAGAAAGUUUACUUGAAUACCUGGUGAUGUUACCAGAGACAUUCAAACUGCAGAAGAUGCUUUGACCCUGACGUCUAGAAAUUUUCUUGACUGGCCGCCCCUGGGCUCAGAAGCUGGUUUAUAAUUUGUUCUAAUCAUUAACCCGUGUUUUUCUUUUGUUUCCAUAGAAAUGCCUUAUUAAAAAUUUCUCGCAUGUAGGCCUUAUGUGGGGAGCCCAGUUACAUCACCACCUCCUAAAACGAGAGACACAACUGUUUAACUGAACUGAACUAUUUUCAAGACUUAGAGAUUAAUUCAAUGAAAUAGUAAAACAAUCUACCAACUCAGCUUCUGGAUUAUGAAGCUCCUUGCAGUUUCAAAGGUGGGUCUGAAGAGGAGCAAAAUAUGCCACUCCAAAUAUGGAUUACGUUGGCAUAUGGAUUACGUUGAAUUAAAAUUAUUUAAGAAAUAUCCAUUACAAGAAGGACACCCCUUUGUCCCCCUGAAAGCAGGAAAUAAAUUCCCUGUGUGAAGGGGACCCUCCCUGCACCUGGAGGGUAAAAGCACCCUCAUGUCCCAAGAGAGGGGGUUCAGGACUGAGAAGGCUGUAUACACCACUUUGUCACUUCUUCAGUAAUUUGCUACCCCAAGCCAGUUUGCUACGCAAACCCCUUUGCCAGUUCUUCACAAAUCAUUGUUUCUUUGUUUUUUGAAAGGUAUAAAAGCUUCCUGCUUGGUCAGUUCUUUGAGUCUCAUAUUUCUAUGCCCUCCUGUUUGUACGGAAUUAAAUUUGUUUUUCUCCUGUUCA